rnacentral:rRNA from 1 species
AUUGAACGCUGGCGGCAGGCCUAACACAUGCAAGUCGAGCGGAGCGGCGGACGGGCGAGUAAUGCCUAGGAAUCUGCCUGGUCGUGGGGGAAAACGUCCGGAAACGGGCGCUAAUACCGCAUAAUAUAAGAUGAGCCUAGGUUGGAUUAGCUAGGUGGUGGGGUAAAGGCCUACCAAGGCGACGAUCCGUAACUGGUCUGAGAGGAUGGUCAGUCACACUGGAACUGAGACGCGGUCCAGACUCCUACGGGAGGCAGCAGUGGGGAAUAGUGGACAAUGGGCGAAAGCCUGAUCCAGCCAUGCCGCGUGUGUGAAGAAGUUCUUCGUAUUUUAAAGCACUUUAAGUUGUGAGGCGUUACCAACAGAAUAAGCACCGGCUAACUCCGUGCCAGCCGCCGCGGUAAUAC